AUUAGUAAUGGCGAAUGAACAUAGAUCGGUCAUCAUUGAAUUCUGCCACAGACCGUGGUUAGAAAGUGUAAUGUUGGCGUAGUCGCAUCAUGAUAUUGUCAGGGUGUAGUGCAAGUUUGAUUGAAUGGAACUUUCCCAUAGAGGGUGAAAGGCCCGUGGUGCUACACUCAUGAUCAUUUCGUGACUGCGUUUGAGUAGAAUUGCUUGAGAGUGCAGUUCGAAUAAUGUGUGGCAAACCCCACACAAGCCUAAAUAUUUCUGCGAGACCGAUAGCGAACAAGUACCAUGAGGGAAAGUUGAAAAGUACUCUGAAAAGAGGGUUCAUAAGCACGUGAAACUGUACUCUGUAAAGCGAAUGAUUGGGUGAUAUGGGUGCAAUCAAUCAGGUGAACCGUUUCCAUAGCUGUUUGAUGAUAAAAGAUGAUGAUGCGAUGGUUACGGGACGCUGUAUUUGGUUGCAUCCUUUGUUGCUCGGUAAGUUGUCGGUAGCGCUGUGUUUUGCUGAAUUGAACCGUCAUUGGAUGGUUUCAUGAACAUAACACUGUAGUGUUGUUGACUACGGAUGUUACCGUCAACUUACUUUUGCAAAGCGGCUAUUCAUGAUAUGCAUAGAUUCGUGCUGCAGUUUGUAAAAGCUGUUUGUACGCUUUUAUGUAGAAAGGUAAUGGUUCGAUGAGAGCAACGUAAUUGCUAUGAAUCAUUCGAACCGUCUUGAAACACGGACUAAGGAGUUCAACUUGAACGCAAGUUGUUUUUCAUACUGAAAUUUAAAGGCGAAGUGAAAACAACUUUUCAAAGAUGCUAACUGAAGUAUUUCUGAUGGUACGCACAAGUGAUGAGUGGCACAUUUGCAAUUGUUGUCUGCUG
rnacentral:rRNA from 1 species